rnacentral:sRNA from 1 species
UAGGUGGUCCUACUUUUCGCAUGUUGC